AGCGAACGCUGGCGGCAGGCUUAACACAUGCAAGUCGAGCGCCCCGCAAGGGGAGCGGCAGACGGGUGAGUAACACGUGGGAACGUGCCUUUUGGUUCGGAACAACCCAGGGAAACUUGGGCUAAUACCGGAUAAGCCCUUACGGGGAAAGAUUUAUCGCCAAAAGAUCGGCCCGCGUCUGAUUAGCUAGUUGGUGGGGUAAUGGCCCACCAAGGCUACGAUCAGUAGCUGGUCUGAGUGGAUGAUCAGCCACAUUGGGACUGAGACACGGCCCAAACGCCUACGGGAGGCAGCAGUGGGGAAUAUUGGACAAUGGGGGCAACCCUGAUCCAGCCAUGCCGCGUGAGUGAUGAAGGCCUUAGGGUUGUAAAGCUCUUUUAGCAGGGAAGAUAAUGACGGUACCUGCAGAAAAAGCCCCGGCUAACUUCGUGCCAGCCGCCGCAGUAA
rnacentral:rRNA from 1 species